rnacentral:lncRNA from 1 species
UGAUUCAGGUGGGCUUGUUAUUGUUGGGUGGGCGCUGCUUUUGCAGUCUGAGCUGAGAAAAUUUUCCAGUUGCUGCUACACCAGAGAAUUAAUGAUGAUGAUACCGUGAGUCAUAAUCUUAUUGAGACAAGUGGAAUUGUUUCUGAGUGUAUAGUCGAGCCUUGGGAUGUUAGGCGGUUCAUAACCUGUGCUAUUCCUUCUUUGCACAGCAGUGUCUGUAAUCCUUUUUACUUUUUUGAUGGAGCAUAAGAUGUUUUGCAAACUGGUACCCAUCUCCAAUAUGUGGAAGUCAAUUAUAUUUGGGGUGGAAAUAUCCGUGCGGUUAAUCAAGCCUGGCUUGGUGCUUGUUGCAGUAGAGCCCAUUUUUCUGUCACUUGUUGCUGUAGAUCAUCCUCGUUCUGGUCAGUUCAGGGGGUAAGGAAAAUGCAUGUAGCAUGUUGCUUGAAAGGCUCUUCCUGUGCACGUAUGGUUAGGGCAUCUACAACCUGAGUUGGCAAAUCUGGGCUCUAUACAUCCGUGGAUGCCCUCAAAUUAUCACAGAAAAAAGUACAUAGUCCUAACAUAGUUCAAUCAUAAAAUUUGUUCAUAGUGAAUAAUUGAUACGCCCUCAAAUUAUCACAGAAAAAAGUACAGUCCUAACAUAGUUCAAUCAUAAAAAUUGUUCAUAGUGAAUAAUUGAUACAUAAAACACAUAGGUGAUUUUCAGCAUGGAUACACAUAUGAUCCACAAGAUCAUUGAGAAGUUGCAUAUGCACAUGUUGAUCUUGAAGUUGUCAAUGCACCUUAAGAAAGUUGGUAAUAUGCUUUGUCUCUUGUUCCGAGAAGCGGACCUAAACACCGGGCUUCUCAAAAUCAUGCCCUUCACCCUUGUCCUUGACAAUCAUGUUGUGCAAAGAUUACAAAACAUGUCAUGAGCUGUCAAUGUGUCCUCGCUUCCCACAUCAUUGCAGCUCCAUGAACAAUACUCCAACGAACUUGGAGCACUCUGAGUGCCCUCUUCAUAUCUUGCUUACCACCUUCUUGGGCUUGUGCAAAGAGUCAUUAUUUCCUAACAUGAGGAUCCAAUAUAGUGCCCUCUCCACAUCCCUUUUACCACCUUCUUGGGCUUGUGCGGAGAGUCAUUGUUUGCUAACACGAGGAUCCGAUAUAGGAGAGCUCCUAUGCGCCGUUCGCUGCAGCGAAUUAUCGAGCGGACGCACAGGCGCGUCCAGCUGGGCCGGCCCAUUCGCGCAACGCAGUGAAAAAAUCCCAAAAAAUUAUGCUGGAGAGAGGGAUCAAAACAGGGACCUCCAUCUUUGUAUGCACGAGCUAACCAUAGCGAUAGACAAGCUUUCUUGGUUUGCUAUGGCGUGCGGAGCUAAAUGUAAUGGAGACCCAAACAUUUUCUCAAAUUCCUAACGCAAAAAUUAUUUUGAAAAGGUGUUUCUUAAAAAGAGAACACUUUCCAAAUUUUAGAAGAAAAACUAAAAGGCAUGAAGAAAUUUUUGAUAAACUGAACACUUUUUAAAAUCCCUAACAUUUUUUGAAUUUAGGGAACAAAAUUUUGAAAUCGAGAAGAAAAUUUGAACAUGAAUUAUUUUUAAAGCACGGACAUUUUUUUAAUCUUGAGAACAAAUUUUGAAACGGAGAACAAAUUUGUAAGUGUGGAAAUUUGAGAACAAAAUUUGAACAUGAACAUUUUUUAAAGCACGAACAUUUUUUAAUCUUGAGAAGAAAAUUUGAAACAGAGAACAAAUUUGGAAGCGUGGAUUUUUUUAAAGCAUGAACAUUUUUUUUGAAUGUUGAGAACAAAUUUUGAAACAUAGAAUAAAUUUGGAAGCGUGAACAAUUUCUUAAAGCACGGACAUUUUUUGAAUAUUGAGAAUAAAUUUUGAAACAGAGAACAAAUUUGAAAAAUCCCGAAUAUAUUUGGAAGUGCAAACAUUUUUUGAAAACCUGAACAAAAAAGUUGAAGUCUGGUACAUUAUAUUAAUUUCGAAAAUUUUGCACUUUUUUGUGUAACGAGAACAAUUUUCGAAUUUUGAGAACAAUUUUUAAAAAACUGACCAUUUUACGGAAAGGCAAACAAAAUUUGAAUAUUUUGAAAAAAGGAGAGAAAAGAAAAAGGAAAUGAAAUAAUAAACCAAAGAAAGAUAACAAACAGAAAAAACGAAAAAGAAAAAAAAGGAAACAGAAAGUAAUUUGAAAAUCUGAAGAACAAAAAGGAAAUAGAAAGAGAAGAAAAGGAAUUGAAAAAAUGAAAUAAAGAAACAGAAAAACAAAGAAAGAAGAAAAAAAGAGAAAGAAAAAAAAACAGUGAAAAACCGGUUCAAGAACCUUCUGGAAGGUUCCCAAAACUGGUCAGGAACCUUCCAGAAAGUACCUACUGUAGCGCGCGUAGUUGGGCCGGCCCAUCUGGAUCGCUAGGUCACUCGGCUCUGUGCGUUUGCUCGACAAUCUGCCGCAAUGAGCGUCCGCUAGGAUAUUCCCCGAUAUAGUGCUCUCUUGAUAUCCUUUUUACCACCUUCUUGGGCUUGUGCGAAGAAUCAUUGUUUCUUAACAUGAGGAUCCGAUAUAGUCUUCACAAACGCCACCCACUGAGGAUAGAUACCGUCGGCAUGGUAGUACCCCAUGUUGUAGUUGUGCCCAUUGACGGUGUAGUUGCAUGGCGGAGCUUCCCCAUCGUUGGAGCACAUUGAUGUUAUUGUUAGAAUCAGGUGUGUCAAAGGAAGAAUGUCAAAAUCCGUAAGUCCUUCGACGCCACUGUUUCAAGUAUGAUGAUGGCUUCUUUGGCGUGACCUUGGUACAACCCACAUAAAUCUUUUGUGCAGUUCUUUCAUUGCCAGUGCAUGCAAUCAACUGAACCGAGCAUACCUGAGAAUCCUCAUGUUGCUUCAAUUGCCAACAAUUUUUUCCAUGUCCUCCCAGUUGGCUCCCUUAGGCACUCUGGCCCAAACACCUUCACCAAAAGUGCGUACAAAUUGCACCAUGUUGUUCAAGACCGUGGUCCCUCCCAUCCGGAUUUCAGUUGCCUUACCAUAAGCAAGCAUCCUAAGAGCAGCCGUGCAUUUCCGCAUCAGAGAGAAAUAACAUUUUUCGCAACAAUCGUUCCUCAACUUGAAGUUUCCAUCAACCUUCUCCAUGGCAGUGACUAUGCGCAAGAACAAAUCUCCGCUCACCCGGAAGUGCACCAAAAAACCCUUCAUGGUAUGUUGGGCCUAGUGUGAAGUAGUCCGUGUACAGAAGCCAUGGGCCAGUGAUGCUAUCCCGGGGAAUAACUCUUCGGACCUUUAUCAAACCCUUGAAGUUCAAUAUGUGCUCCUCUUCUCUAUUUCUUAUUGGAUGCUCAUCAUCAUCAUCAUCAUCAUCAUUUUAGCAUCUUCAUCGUCUGAAUCUGACGAUCCAAUGAACUUUCUGUAUAUGAAUUCAUCAAGGUUCGUGUUUCCAUAGCCAUCAUUCGACAAAUCCAUUGGUGACCUACAAAUGACCAAAAGAAUAAAAAAACUACUCAAACAUUUCAUUGAACAUAUAGAGCACAAGGUGUAUAUCCAAAGGAGUUGGACGUACCAAGGCGGCGUCCGAUGUUGGCGACCUUGUCUGGUAGCGGGAUGGUUGGCGGAGUUGUGGGUUGGGCCCUCCGGUGGCGGCACUAUGGGUCAGGUACGAAGAGGUAUCAACAAUGGUGGUGGAGCUAUGGUGGCAUGCUGGGCAAGGAGGGGGACAUCUUCAAGCAAUUUGGCAUGGGCCCUUGCAGCCAGUCCUAUGUGGCAAAUGCGCCCGUGCGUCCCCAUAUCCGCCCCACAUAUGGGCUGGGUAUGGGGAUUGUCGGUCAACCCAGACGUUUGUGCUAGAUUGUCCGGUCCAGUUGGGUGGCGUUUUACUAUUCGAGCAGUGAUCGGGCAGUCUGCCCGUACAUUUGGGGCAGAUAUGGAGCGUCCGGGUGUAGAUGCUCUUACCAAGCUGAAACGAAUACACCAGUUAUCCCUUCGAUUUCAGUAGUACCAGGAAUUUAGUGCGACCAGUAGCCAAACUUUGGGUGGGCACUUUCAAACUGAACUGAGUGGCGUACCAUGCAGCGCUCUCCUUUCUCCCCCUCCCAUGCCCUCAUGGCCAGUGGCGAUUGUAUGUAUGAGCUGUGAGCCCACACCUUCUUCUAGGACAAACAUGCUAAAAUUAUUGUAAAGUUACUAUACACUAUGAAGAAAAUAAUGCAAAAAAUUAACAAUGACCCCAUAGGUUCUUCCGGCUGGCUUCGCCACUUCUCAAGGCGACUGAGCCCACGCUAUUGGAAUCACCCUGCAUGGUAUACAUCACUCCCCUCGCCUCCCUGUCUCGGUCUCCCCUCGGUAACAGACCGCGGGUGUAAGAUCACACGUACAUUGUAUGUAGGCAUGGUUGGUGAAAACGAUUUUGAGGGAGGGUGGCCUCCUUGGAGGGCCUUGACCUCCAAUUCCACCCAUUGUUCUUGUAUGUUUGGGGCCAAAGCCAUCUAAUUACAAGGUUUGUGUUUGUAUCAAAGGGCUGCCAUGAUUGGCUAGAUCGCUAGAGUCUGGCUGACCUUUGCAAAGAUGAUGUGUUUGUGGAUGGGGUGCUGCUAUGAAGGAUCGAAGAUGCGCUACACAUCGACUAGAGGGUGUGUGUGUGAAUAGGAGACUAACAAAUUUUAAACUUUUCUUAGUUGCUUUUAGAGGCUAGUAUGAAAAUAUACGAUGCAUUAUAACAAGAUAACAAGCUAGAUAUGGCAACUAAGCAAGCAAGUAAUAACAUCAAGUAAAGCUAGGGAGAGACAACUGAAUAUGAUGGAGAGAUCCAGAAUUCACACUCUAGGGGGGGGGUGCUAAUCUUCAUUCGAGAGGUGUGGAACAACAAAUGCUCCCACAACAAUUAAUAUCUCACGUAAGUCUUCGAUAACCUUGGUUAAUGAAUGGCCCAGUUCCCUCUCACUAGGCAUAAUUCUUCAGGAGAGAUCCCCUUACAAAUGAGCCCAGGGGACAACCACACAACUUGAAAGCUCAUGGGAGACACAAACCGUCUUGGGUUUUGCACAAACCCAAGAGUAACAAAAUUCAUGAAGGAUUCUGCGAGGAAUCGACAAACUCAAGUUUUGCUUUGGUGGAGUUGUAGAUCAGGAUCUCUUGCUCUACCUAAAGUUAUAGGUAGAAUGGAGGGAUAUCUCAAGCGUUUUAAGGGUAGAAAAAUGAUGGAGAGAGUGUUGGAGUCAUCCCCUUUUUCAUGGAGAAGGGGGCCCCACUUAAAAACUGCCCCUUAUGAUGUUGUCUAGAAAUCUUAGAGGGUUCGAGACACCAUGGAGGGUCCGGUUAGUUGGAGGGUCCUAGGGGAGUCCGUGCGAAACCAGAGGUUUCUUCUUCCAGCUAGAGGUGCCUCAUAUAUCACUCGAAUGUGCCUCAUAUAUCACUCAAAGGGCCUGAGAGGCUAGAAGUUCCGAGACACCUUGGAGUCUUCGACCCAGGGACAGAGGCAAACAUGUCAACUCGGAUACCACACGGAGGGUUCGAGGUGGGUCCCAGGCUCACGGGAGAGCAAACAUAAGGGCACUUUUAAGGGGCUCUCUCUCUCUCUCACACACACACAAAGGUGUGGGUGGUUUUGGCUUAUCUUUGGCUCACCAAUUCCCAUACAUCAAUCCAUCUUGUAUCCCCUCUUUAUAGUACGGCAUACCUAUGGCUCAAAACGAGAAAUCCUCUGUAGGAAAUUGAUGUGCCAUGUUCUUUUAUUCUUUAGCUUAGGGGAUCACCGACCAACUUUAUGGUUCUUUUAAAAGUGUGUGUGUGUGUGUUGUAUAAUCACUCAAAAAAUCUUUAGUAUUUUGAACAUAGUGCCAUUAACGCCAAAACCCUCAUUAGGGACUAGAUUUCUAUUUAAUCUCCCCCUUUUUUGUGGUUGUUGACAAUAUGCUUAGAACAAUAUAACAAAGGUACUAUGAUUAAGAUCAUCAUUGGUUCUAGGGAUUUUUAUUUCUGUGCCCCUGGUUCCUUAGUUCUACUCAUUCAUCCCCAUGCUCUUAACUUUUGAUCACUUCUCCCCACUCCCUUGCCCGAGACACUCAGAACUGGUCACAGCGGACAUUGCUGUCAGGUCAAUGGCUUGACCGUUAACUCUGACGAGUGGGGCCGCGUAGGGCCAAGUCCACAUUUUGACCGUUACAUGCUAACCAGUGGAGCCGCGAAACUGACACUCACUGUAACCUGAAUCAGAUCGAGUCGCUUCCGCGCCGCCCCCUCCGCCGCCGUCGUGUCGCCUCCUCCGCAUCUACCCUCUCUCCCCAUCUAGUAUUAGGAAGCGAUGUCGGGGGGCACCCCGUCUAGCCCAUCGACCGUGGAGAUGAUUGGGUCGAAUCAGAGGCGGAUAAUUCAUGGAUUCCACCUAGGUAAGCAUCAUUUUCCUCUCAAAUUGAUUAGGAGAUAUGUAAAUUAGGCUGUAUUUAACCACGUUGGCGUGAAUCAGUGCAAUUUAUCUAAAAAAAUUCGGCCUAACUGCGCCCUUUAUAUCUUAUUUCAAUCGAAUAGGGUUGAUCCUGCACUUGCUUUUCGCCUGGUGGUUAGAAUGGAAACUAGCAAGCUGCGUGGAACUAAACCGUGUCUGAUUUCUGGAUUUUUCUAUCCUAAAGUGGUAGAAACCAGUGUUUCGUUCACAGAUUUCUGCGAGGCACUCUGUUGUGAGUAUCCGUGGAGCCCUGCCAAUGCUGUUGAGCUGAGAUAUUUCGAAGUACCGAGCAGAGAUUUGUCCCAUUAACUUGUGAUGAGCAUCUGGGAUUGCUAUUUAGUUUGAAUGCUGAGAGCCAUUUUGGUAAAAUCCAUAUCGGUGUGCUUCAGGCAUGCAAACAACAUAUCCCGAAGGGGAAGGGUGUUCAGACAUCAUCUGUCUCUGCUAAUAGCGAGCGUCCUCGCACUCCUUGUAGGUCAAGACCAAGUAAACCUAGUGGUUCUGAAAGCCGCAACAUGUCGGCUGCCGCUAAUUCUACCACUUAUCCUCUCCCUUAUGCACCUGAUGUAGAAGUAGAUGCAGAGCCUGAUGAGGAAGUGCCUCGACAUGAUGAUGAGGAUGAGAUUCUAUUCCCCGAACUGGUAGAUAGAGUCAGUCAAUAGGAAGUGGAAGAUGAAUAGCCAGAGGAGCCUAGCAGCCAUGCUAGAUUUGAUGACACUAACGAUGAAGAGAGGGAGGAGAACAUCGACUCAUUAGUUUUACAAGAAUAUGAGGGUGAGGACAUGCCAACAAUUGAGUGGAACAGGGAGAAUCCUGAGCUUACUUCAGGAACCAUAUUCGAAUCGAUGGUGGACUGUCAUAAUGCAGUGACUACAUAUUGCAUUCUCACUGAAAACUCUUAUGAGGUUGAUAGGAGUGAUCCAGAAAGAUUCACUGUUCAUUGCGCUUAUGAUAGGUGUGGGUGGAGGUUGCAUGCAUCCACUAUGCUAAAGAGCAAAUUGAUUCAGGUAUUACAACUGAAUCCUUUUAUCAGAUUAUUUAUUCAUUCUAUAUUCAGAUCAUGUGUACUGUUUCUUAAUUGUAUUUGAAAUCAUUUUUCAUUUUGUUUCAGCUAAAAAGCAACCCACACGGGCACACUUGCCCACCCGGAGGGAGAGGGGGAAAGGACAAAUCAAAGCUUGCAAAGACUAGGUGGGUGGCAGAUGCAAUCUUGGAUUGGGUGAGGGAAACACCAAUAAUUCACUACAAAAAAGACACAUCCAUGACAUUUUGGGCCGAACGAAAUUUUUUCUGUCAUACUUAUGACACUUCUAUGACAAUAAUUGUGACAAAACACGGUAUCAUCAUAGAUGUGGUGGGGUCCUACUUCUAUGACAAAAAAUCAUGACAAAAAAUGGGCUUUUCGUCCUGGGCGGGCCGGAGACGCAGUUGCAUGACAUUCUUUGGGCUGUCCAUGACGGAAAAAACCAUGGUAGAAGCGAGGGCGAGGAAAAUAUCGGGGUGUUCCCAGUUACGGUGGGUGGUCGGGGCCGAGCGAUGCAUGUUUCUCUCGUACACGCACGCGCGUGGGUGUGAGGCGUUGGGCUCUAACUGAACCCGAGCGAGGUGUUGGGCUCUAACUGAACCCGAGCGAUUGCACUGCAGGCUACGCGUUACUGAACCCGAGCGAUCGAUCAAUGGCUAUUAACUUAAUCCGAUCGAGCAAUUCCUUCGCUACUGCUGCUAACUGAAGCCGAUUNNNNNNNNNNNNNNNNNNNNNNNNNNNNNNNNNNNNNNNNNNNNNNNNNNNNNNNNNNNNNNNNNNNNNNNNNNNNNNNNNNNNNNNNNNNNNNNNNNNNNNNNNNNNNNNNNNNNNNNNNNNNNNNNNNNNNNNNNNNNNNNNNNNNNNNNNNNNNNNNNNNNNNNNNNNNNNNNNNNNNNNNNNNNNNNNNNNNNNNNNNNNNNNNNNNNNNNNNNNNNNNNNNNNNNNNNNNNNNNNNNNNNNNNNNNNNNNNNNNNNNNNNNNNNNNNNNNNNNNNCUGGAUGAACAGGACUCCAUGGAGUACUUAACCCGAUAGAGCGAUUCCUUUGCUACUACUGCUAACUGAAGCCGAUUGAUGCUGCCUCUGGAUGAACAGUGAGCGUUGCUGGGGGAGGGGGGGUUGGAUGAACAGUUCCCGGUGGGGAUGGAUGAAUAGGACCUCGAUCGAUCGAGCCGGUUGGGGGUGGAUGAACAGGACCCCGUGGAGGGCAGGAUGAACAGGACCACCCCGUGGAGGGCAGGAUGAACAGUAGAUGGUGGAGGGCUGGAUGAACAGUAGCCCGUGGAGUGGUGGUUGAAAAGGAGCCCGUGGAGAGGGCUGGUUGAACAGUAGCCGAUGGAGUAGCGCGCGGUGGAGGCUGGAUGAAUAGGAGCCCGUGGAUGAACAGUUACAGGUGGAGGCUGGAGGAGGUCGACGGUGGAUGAACAGUAGCCCGUGGAGGCUGGAGGGGGUCGACGGUGGAGAUGAACAAUAUCCCAUGGAGUCCCGUUUUGCGGUACGCCACACCCCUCCCGAUGAACAGGACCCCCGUUUCGACCGUAGCGCUCCAACACAAGUCCGUUUCCCCCCUUUUGCGGUACGCCACACCCCUCCCGAUCAACAGGACCCCCGUUUCGACCGUAGGAGGUCCGUUUCCUCCGUUUUGCGGUACGCCAGACCCCUCUCGAUGAAUAAGAUCCCGUUUCGAACGUGGCCGGUCGAACACAAGGCCGUUUCCUUCGUUCUGCGGUACGCCAGAACUCGUUUCCAUCAGCUGUUCUGUCCAAGCCCUCCCGAUGAACACGACGACGCAUUCCGUUCCGACCCAGCCGGUUGGCUCCCCAUGAACACGAUGACGACGCUGUUUCUCCGUUCCGACCCAGCCAUGCACACGAGCCCGGGCUGUACGUACGCGCGAGUAGGCGUUCGAGACUCCGUCCGUAUGUACGUACGUGGCUGUAUUUACUUUUUUGCACCCUGACCACUGUACGUACAUGUACAUGCUACGUGCGCGCCUCUACAUCGACCAGUAUGUACGUACACGUUCGCGACCAGAAUGACAACGCUACGUACGCUUCAACCAGGUGGGUCCCAACUGUCAGGCACUUCCUUGCGUGCCAAGGUGUAGCUGGUGGGUCCCAGCAGUCAGGGGAGCGAAUCGUUUUUUUGCCCGGACGCACUUCCUUGCGUGCGAAGAUGUAGCUGGUGGGUCCCAGUAGUCAGGGGGAAAUGUUUUUUUUCGCGAAAUAUGGUGGCCCGUUCGGUGGGUCUUCGCUGUCAGGUGGAGGAAUAUUUAUUCUGCGUGUAAUAAGGAGGCACUUCCUUGCUGCGGCCGUGGACCCAGCUGUCAGCCUCUCCAUGUAUAGUACUCUUCCGAUGGAAGUCGUUCCUUGACCACGCCGCGCUGAAAGCACCAGGGUGGUGGCGACGGCGAGGCCUAGGAAGGGGACGAUGCGGAGCCGGGGAAGACGCGAUAGUGGAAUCCCGCGCAGAGAGGAGUACGAGGGUUCACUGGUUCGGCUGCGGUGUGAGGCUGCCGUCACCGCAGGGCCUGGCCAGUGGUGGGAAUAGUAGGGGGUGGUGAGGCCUCCGCAGCAGCACAGCCGACCACGGGAGGCAGGAGCAUGCGGCACGACCGGCGCUGCUUUGGGCGGCUGGAGCAAGAAGACCAGAGGUUGAAGAAGCACUACGGCCGUUGGAUGGACAUCGUAUGGUCACUGGAGCUAAAACCGUGCAUAUUGACUAAGUUGACAAAGCUCUCCGUCCCCAUCAACUUAGUAGACCCACAAGUCAGCCUCCCACUAUACUGGGUCCCAGCUAGCAGGGGGAGUAUUCAUUUUUUUGUGCGUAAUAAGGAGGCACUUCCUUGCGUGCGAAGAUAUAGCUGGUGGGUCCGAGCUGUCAGUGGCGGUAACAUUUUUUUCGCAAAAUACAGAGGCCCUUUCGGUGGGUCCCAGAUGUCAGGUGGAGGAAUCAUUAUUUUGCGCGUAAUAAGGAGAUAUUUCCUUGGGUGCGGCCGUGACCCAGCUGUCAGCCUCUCCACGUACAUUCCACUUCAAAUGCAUGUCGGUCGUUGACCAUGUUGACCAGGCCGCGCUGAGAGCACCAGGGCGGUGGACGAAGGCGAGGCCUAGGAAGGGAACGACACGGAGCCAAGGAAGACUCGUCAGUUGUUUCCCAUGCAGAGGGGGGACGACUGUACGAGGGUUUACUGGUUCGUCUGUCAUUGCCGGAGAAUAACAGCAGGUGUGGGUGAGUAGAGGGAUGGUUAGGCCAGCGAUGGGAGUACGGUGGGGCGGUGAGGCCUGCGCGGCAGCACAACCGGCCGCAGGGAGGAGAGAGCAGGCAGUCCCGCCGGCGCUUGUUUGAGCGGCUGGAGUAGGAAGAGCAGAGAUUGAAGAAGCACGACGGCCGUUGGAUGGACAUCCAACAGUCACUGCUUGUGCAUUAACCUUUUUUUAGGAAAGCCUCAAAUCUGUGGAAAACAUCAUACAUCAUAUAUGCCAUUAUUUCUAAUAAUUUAUAGCCCAUUUGCCAAUUCUUAAGGUUUUUUGGAGCCCAUAUUCUUUUUGUUAGCAUUACAGCCCAUAUUGUGGCCACGGUUAAAAAAUUAUACGAAAUUUUGCAUAUUUCGGUGCGGUCCGAACUGUUUUUAAUCCUGAAAUUUCGAGUCACGUUCAAACUGAUUUUAAAAAUAAAUAUAUAUCAAUAUAAAAUCCAACAAAUUGUCCAUGCAUAAAAAUCAAUGCAAUUUAAAAUCUCAAAAUGAAAAAAAAGAAAUUUGAAACUAAUUGCCGGUUUGAUGUGUUUUAAAAAUGUACAACCCAUUUCUCAUUACUGAUAGGCCAUUUUCUCGGGCAGCCGAAUGAAAGCUCUCCUUGUCUUGAAAGAUUUACAGCCCAACAGGCCUGACAAAGUGACUUACUUGUCAAAUCACAAAAAAACUAGGCUGUGGCCGUGGACCCAGCUGUCAGCCUCUCCAUGUACAGUACUCUUCCGAUGGAAGCCGGUCGUUGACCACAUUGACCACGCCGUGCCAAGAGAACCAAGGCUGUGGACGACGACGAUGCCUAGGAAGGGGAUGACGCGGAGCCGGGGAAGACGCGAUAGUGGAUGCCCACGUGGAGAGGAGUACGGGGGUUCAUUGGUUCGGCUGCGGUGUGAGGCUGCCGUCGCCGAAGGGCCUAGCUAGCGGUGGGAGUAGUAGGGGGCGAUGAGGCCUGAACGGCAGCGCAGCCGGCCACUGGAGGUAGGAGCAGGCGGUCUCACCGGCGCUGGUUUGGGCGGCUGGUGCAAGAAGAGUAGCGAUUGAAGAAGCAGCAGGACCGUUCGAUUCAAAUCCAAUGGUUACUGCUGCUAGAAUCGUUUGUUGACUAAGUUGACAAGCCCUGCGUACACGUCAACUUAGUAGGCCCACAGGUUAGCCUCCCAACCGGUGCGCCCAGAUGUCAGUGGGAGGAACCAUUUUUUCCCGUAAUAAGGAGGCAGUUGAUUGCGUGCGGCCAUGCCAGUGGAGGGAGUAGGGUGGGCCGGGGAAGCCUGCGCGACAUCACAAUGGGCCACAAGAGGAGGGAGCAGGCAGUCCCGCCGAUGCUAGUUUAGGCGGCUGGAGCAGGAAGAUCAGAGAUUGAAGAAGCACGUCCGCCGUUGGAUGGACAUCCAACAGUCACUGCUACUAGAAUCAUGUGUUGACUGACAAAGCCUUGCGUAAACAAGUGAGCCUCGAAAUAUGUGACGUGUAAAGCCCAUUUGCUAUUAUUUUUAUAAUUUUUACUCAUUUUGUAAUUCAUAUGGAAUUUAUUGUAGCCCGUUUUCCAUUUUUAGAAUUGCUGCCCAUUUUCUGGUCAGUACCAGGGUUAAAAAAAUUAACUAAAUAUGUGGGAAAUUUUGAAAAUUCACAAAUUUUUGCUCGGGAACAAAAUAUUCUUAAUCCAAAAAUUAGUAGUCAUACUAAAACAAAUUUAAAAAUAAAUUAGUACUAUGUCAUGUUAAAUCCAAUGAAAUACAUAUAAGACAUCAGUGAAGAACAAAAACAAAAAAGAAACUAAUAUCCCAUUUGCUAUAUUUUUUUGGGAUUUUCAAUCCCUUUUUAUAUUACUUUUAACAGACAUUGACCAUACUCUUUGGCCAGGCCGGAAUGCAUCCCUCCUUGUGUUGAAAGAUUUGCAGCCCAAUAAGUCGGAGAAAACAAAUAGGCCUAGCUUGGGUAUUCUUCAAAAAGAAAUACUGGGCUAUCUAUUUUCUCAAAGAAAAAACUACUGCGCUGGUCAUGUUGUUAGACGGGCCACAGAGACCGCACAACCCAGUUUAUAGCCUACUCCUCCGAAUUACUACUAAAAAAAGUUGUGCAAUUCUAUUGUUAAUUGACUAUACAUUGAAAAUGAUGUGGGUCCCAUAUAUCAGCAGGGUGGAUUAGAGUAAAAAACGAGGGGUUCAUCUGAGUAGUAAAAGAAGCACUUGCUUGUGUUCGGGAGUGGACCUGGUGGGUCCGUACUGUCAUACUCACAACUACAGUCCUCUCCCGAUUUACUAUGUUGACAGGGACCGUUUCAAAAAAAAACUAUGUUGACAGGGCCGGACGGCGGUGCCGCGGCGAGCGCACCAAGGCGGAGGAUAAAGUGCUGCCGCCAAUGUGCUGGGCUGGGUUGGACAUUCUUAUUAAAAAAUAAAAAUGGACCGGAUCUAUUUAUGACGUUGACUACGAUUUGCAUGGGUCCGCUGGUUGCAGGAAGAAAAUGCUGGGAGGAAGAAGACUGGUCGCUAUCUUUGCCGAAGAAUAAUAUCGACUGAAUGUAACGACACUAUCAUAGGAAAUAAUAUCCUCCUGUUAAAUCGUGAAUUUAAAGAACUGGUGCAUGAGCAUUUAGCUUUAUUUAUUUAUUUACUUAUUUAUGUUUAGGGGACCAUGACCAUGUACCUGGGCCGGAUUCAUGUGAGAGCCUCCCUUCCAGUUAAUUAUGGGCUUCUCUACUGGGCCUUCAUCAGUGGACUGCAUGUUAUCAACAAGUGGAAAAUGUGUUCCGUAUGAAAAAUAGUAUGCGCUACGUACGGUACGGGGCACUAAAGGAUCGAACCGUGCAACGACUUCCAAAACAUUGUGUUUGUCGUUCUAACAACAUAUUUAUUCAACCAACAGACGAAAUAUACUACUGAUUGUACAUUGAAAAGAGCAGCAGCAGCAACCAGGGCCGGGGCAACAGAAGCAGUAAGCAGGCCAGAAGAGUGAAGACGCAACUCUCUCUUCCAAACCAAACAUCAGCCAUCAUUACAAAAUGGCUACCAAAAAAGAACAAGUGUAUCCAUCAAACUAAAUAAAGAUCCUACUACACCAAGUGUACGCAUCUAACUAAUUGGCUCAGUUAGACGUUACUAUUUAUUAAGCUGUGGAGAUUGGCUGAUGGCUUGAACCAGAUGGGUGCCUGACGGGGGAAACUCCAGCCAGCAGGUCGAAGUCUAAUACUUGCGACCCUCUCUCCUACUUUGGGCUGCAGAGCACGGCGGCACAUAUCAGGGUAUGGUGCAUGUAGAGACGCAUGGUACACUGUGUACACACAGUUUUGCCUGAUGAACGAAACCGCGCUACCAUCAUGAUCCUUGCCGUCGAUUAUCUCCUGGUUAAUCAGAUAAUUCAGUCUGACAAAUAGAGAGCGUGUACCAAGGCUACUUACCAACCUCCAGUCAAAAAUUUCUGAAGGCCCAGAGAAGCUGGGAUCUUGCUCAAAGACCUUGCAGUGACUGUGAUUGUAUUCCGCGAAACAACACGUCCGGUACGUGCGAACGAUCAUCAAUCGUUCAUCGUCGUCUGAUCGAGCCAGAAAUCAUCUGCAAUUGCCAUGCCGCUUUUCUUUGAAAGGUUCUGAGAUUAGGAAGGGUAGGGACACCAGGCGGCCUACAACAUCAUAUCAAGUUGGAGUCAAAUAAACCACAAAAAAGUUGGAGUCAAAUAAAAAAGGGCUCUUGAUGUAGUCAAUCUUAAGAACAACAUGUUAUGAGCAUGAAUAUUUUUUCAGUAAAUGUUGACAAUAAUAUAAGCAAGCCAUCAUGAUAUCAUAGGAAAGUAACAUAAAAAAAGUUGGAGUCAAAUAAAAAAGGGCUCUUUGAUGUAGUCAAUCUUAAGAACAACUUGUUAUGGGCAUGAAUAUUUUUUCAGUAAAUGUUGACAGUAAUAUAAGCAAGCCAUCAUGAUAUCAUAGGAAAGUAACAUACUGCUGUAACAACCAUUUGUAGCGAUGACUGGAGUAGGCCAGCAAUACGUCCAGCCAUAGGAGUCAACAGCGUAAAUGAAGCCCUUGUGUUCAACGGCAUCAGAGAACCAUGGAGGGUGUAUGAUCCUGCGAUGGACGUGCAGAUUUAUCCACUUACCGCAGUGAACUGUCAGAUAGGCGAGACCGUGGUUGAAGAACGCAAUUAGCCUGAAGUCUUUAUAAUUCGCAGAUCUUGUGGGCACUUGGCAGAUUACAACCUUGAGCAAAUCAAACUUGGUAUCAUGUUGGCUACUGUAAGAUUCCGAGUAUUCUGGGCCACGGUGCCAAAGCAGUGCAGUGUUAAUCGAAGGAAGGGGGAUCAAUCGCCGGGUGUAGACCUCCACGAGCAUCCAGCUACCGCGACUGUCGACGAGCACCAUCCAAGACGUGUUUAUGCCGACCCAGUACAUACCGUUAAUGUAGUUGAGGGUGACGGGGAUCAGAUCGCAAUCAAGGGGGUUGAUGCUCGCCAUCCUAUGAUCGUUAUGCUGCGUGACACGCCGUUUCUGAAGAUCAGGCGGCAUCAGCAAGCAAGGAGCUGGCUUAAAAAGCUCCGGCCUGAGGGCUUUGAGUAAAUGGUACAGCCCCGACAAGCACGCGGCGAGCGGCAUGGUACUGAGAUUGCCCACACGUGAAACAAUGAGCUUGAUUACCACUGUGGGGAGCGAAUUCCAGCCAUUCUUUCGGCGGACGCUGCUCGGUUGUGCCAUUGUUAGUUCUUGGGUUUCGGACGAGGGGGGGGGGAAGCGCCUUAGCGGGGAUGGAAGAUUGGACGAUGGGGGAGGCACCUUAGCGGGGAUUGAAGAGCGGACAAAGAUGGAGAAGCGAAUAUGUGCUACGGGAAGUGGACAGGUGAUGAUGACUACAACACGCCGCUUGACUUACGAGACACAUACCAGCAUCGUAGGGUCAUAUCGAAGUCAGACAACUUGCUUGAGUGAUCACAGUACUGAUACUCCCUACAGUACCUGCUACUAUGCCCUAACUUGCUUGAGUGGAGUAGUAGUGGAGUAGGAGUCGCUGGAGGAUUAGCGCCGCCUGCUAGUUUCGGAGGAGGACGACAACGUCUUCCUCUUGAUCAUGGCCACCGGGCACCUUCCGUGCAACGCACGGGCACCUUACUAUAGAUUAGUACGACAAAAAAUGAACUAACAUUAUAUAUAGUACGAUAAAUGAUGAUGCAUGUCACCUAAAAUUAUAUCAUUGAAAACUAUGUUCAAAUACGAAUCAAACGAUAUUGUUUUUGUUGACAUGCACUAACAUUUUGUGAGUUAAAUCUUCAGUCAAAUUCAAUGGGGGAUAAACCAUGACCGAUGUAGUAGUACUAGUGUAGAGGGCGGCGCUCCACGGGAGUCUCACCCCACUCGUGGCGCGGCAGUAAAGCCGUCAUAUCACAAAACCCAACCACUCCUAGUAAGACGUGGCCUGGUAAAAUAAAUGGACAAGCAACCAACACAUCCCUCCGUCUUUUUUGCAUUUCAUCUCUCUGCAUUUACUUUCUCCGGUUCAUCUCGCACACUCGAUCCGUAGCUACUACUCCUAGUAUCCCUAGCUACUACUCCUAGGGCCAGUUCUUUUGGCGGCUUCCCCAGCUUUUCCCAUAAGACUAGUCACAGUGGAGAGUAACAUUAAGGCGCCUCACUCAUUUAUUUGGGCUUCUAAACUACUACUAGUAGUACCUCUGUCCUGGUUUAUUCCUCACCAUUGUAAUUUGUGCUAAAUUUUGACCAAAGAUUUAACUCAUAAAAUGUUAGUGCAUGUGACAUGCACUAACAUUUCAUUAGUUAAAUUUAUGAUCAAAAUUUGACACAAAUUACAAUGGGGACCAAUAAAACAGGACGAGGUAGUAGUUAUGGGAUUACUCAUCUAGAAGCCUAAAAGAACUGGCCCUGGUACUCCUACUAGUAGUAGUACUCAAGUUGGAAUUCCAAUUGCAUGGCACAACUUGUUAGGCAAAAAAUUCGAUACAGGGUGCAGGAAGCGGUUUGGGAAUUUGCAUGCCUUUCCAACCAGUGAGAUACUCAGUACAAAGUACGACAGAGAAAUAACCACAGAGAAGGAAGCUAAAAGUAAACAAUCAAACGAGCAUUUUUGCAUUUGUUUUGCAUUGAAUCGUUUCACAAGCUUGACUAGUGUUGUUUUUCUACUUUAACAAAAAUCGCAUCGUAAUGUUAAAACGUGCAUUUGCACGUACAUAAGUAAUAGUAGUACUCCCUCCGUCUAGGUGUAUAAGUCUUACCGCCUUCUUGGUCACGGUGCACAAACAAAGAUGACUUAUUGACCUGGACGGAGGGAGUAGCACAGUCUGCAAGCAUAUAUAGAGAGAGACGUGUAGUGCGAUAGUAUAUAGUAAAGUUUGUGCUAUAUGCACAUACUUGCAAAAUGUGUACGAAUACACAAGGUUUCCAAACUUUCCCUUUUACAUACUUAAUUAAGGACGCUAAUAAUUCCUGAACAUUCGAGAUUUAUCAUUUGCGCCCCAAAACUAAUGAAGUCGCCUUACGAAACAAAAA